rnacentral:misc_RNA from 1 species
ACUGGAAUUUACUUUGGUUCAUCAAGCUCCGUUGCAUAUGUGGAAUUUGAGACAGUAGAGGGCAAAGAGAUUGCUAUUGCAAAGCAUUCAUUGACCAUGCUUGGAGAGACACUAUCAAUCUUGCGAAUCGAUGCACCAAGAACAACCAUUGUAAGGAUAUCAAAUAUCGCUAUCCCUUCCAGAGCCAAAGUGAUCUCCUUUUGCAAAAAUCUGGGACAGACUAGGCACUUCUUCAAGAAAG